GCUCAGGAUGAACGCUAGCUACAGGCUUAACACAUGCAAGUCGAGGGGCAUCAGGAAGAAAGCUUGCUUUCUUUGCUGGCGACCGGCGCACGGGUGAGUAACACGUAUCCAACCUGCCCUUUACUCGGGGAUAGCCUUUCGAAAGAAAGAUUAAUACCCGAUAGCAUAAUGAUUCCGCAUGGUUUCAUUAUUAAAGGAUUCCGGUAAAGGAUGGGGAUGCGUUCCAUUAGGUUGUUGGUGAGGUAACGGCCCACCAAGCCUUCGAUGGAUAGGGGUUCUGAGAGGAAGGUCCCCCACAUUGGAACUGAGACACGGUCCAAACUCCUACGGGAGGCAGCAGUGAGGAAUAUUGGUCAAUGGGCGCUAGCCUGAACCAGCCAAGUAGCGUGAAGGAUGAAGGCUCUAUGGGUCGUAAACUUCUUUUAUAUAAGAAUAAAGUGCAGUAUGUAUACUGUUUUGUAUGUAUUAUAUGAAUAAGGAUCGGCUAACUCCGUGCCAGCAGCCGCGGUAAUACGGAGGAUCCGAGCGUUAUCCGGAUUUAUUGGGUUUAAAGGGAGCGUAGGUGGACUGGUAAGUCAGUUGUGAAAGUUUGCGGCUCAACCGUAAAAUUGCAGUUGAUACUGUCAGUCUUGAGUACAGUAGAGGUGGGCGGAAUUCGUGGUGUAGCGGUGAAAUGCUUAGAUAUCACGAAGAACUCCGAUUGCGAAGGCAGCUCACUGGACUGCAACUGACACUGAUGCUCGAAAGUGUGGGUAUCAAACAGGAUUAGAUACCCUGGUAGUCCACACAGUAAACGAUGAAUACUCGCUGUUUGCGAUAUACAGUAAGCGGCCAAGCGAAAGCAUUAAGUAUUCCACCUGGGGAGUACGCCGGCAACGGUGAAACUCAAAGGAAUUGACGGGGGCCCGCACAAGCGGAGGAACAUGUGGUUUAAUUCGAUGAUACGCGAGGAACCUUACCCGGGCUUAAAUUGCAGUGGAAUGAUGUGGAAACAUGUCAGUGAGCAAUCACCGCUGUGAAGGUGCUGCAUGGUUGUCGUCAGCUCGUGCCGUGAGGUGUCGGCUUAAGUGCCAUAACGAGCGCAACCCUUAUCUUUAGUUACUAACAGGUUAUGCUGAGGACUCUAGAGAGACUGCCGUCGUAAGAUGUGAGGAAGGUGGGGAUGACGUCAAAUCAGCACGGCCCUUACGUCCGGGGCUACACACGUGUUACAAUGGGGGGUACAGAAGGCAGCUAGCGGGUGACCGUAUGCUAAUCCCAAAAUCCUCUCUCAGUUCGGAUCGAAGUCUGCAACCCGACUUCGUGAAGCUGGAUUCGCUAGUAAUCGCGCAUCAGCCACGGCGCGGUGAAUACGUUCCCGGGCCUUGUACACACCGCCCGUCAAGCCAUGGGAGCCGGGGGUACCUGAAGUACGUAACCGCAAGGAUCGUCCUAGGGUAAAACU
rnacentral:rRNA from 1 species